rnacentral:rRNA from 1 species
CCUACGGGUGGCAGCAGUAGGGAAUAUUGCUCAAUGGGGGAAACCCUGAAGCAGCAACGCCGCGUGGAGGAUGAAGGUUUUCGGAGUGGAAACUCCUUUUGAUAGAGAAGAGAAGGACGGUAUCUAACGAAUAAGCAACGGCUAACUCCGUGCCAGCAGCCGCGGUAAUACGGAGGGUGCAAGCGUUACUCGGAAUCACUGGGCGUAAAGAGCGCGUAGGGGGGUUAGCAAGUCAGAUGUGAAAUCCUAUGGCUUAACCAUAGAACUGCAUUUGAAACUGUUAUUCUAGAGUAUGGGAGAGGUAGGUGGAAUUCUUGGUGUAGCGGUCAAAUCCUUA